rnacentral:rRNA from 1 species
UACAGAGGUGGCAAGCGUUGUUCGGAAUUACUGGGCGUAAAGGGCGCGUAGGCGGCCUUCUAAGUCAGACGUGAAAUCCCCCGGCUUAACCUGGGAACUGCCCUUGAUACUGGCGGUCUCGAGUCCGGGAGAGGUGAGUGGAACUGCGAGUGUAGAGGUGAAAUUCGUAGAUAUUCGCAAGAACACCGGUGGCGAAGGCGGCUAUCUGGACAGUGACUGACGCUGAGACGCGAAAGCGUGGGGAGCAAAGCAGG